rnacentral:rRNA from 1 species
UACAUGGGGUGCAAACGUUGCUCGGAAUUAUUGGGCGUAAAGCGCGCGUAGGCGGUUGCUUAUGUCGGAUGUGAAAGCCCUCGGCUCAACUGAGGAAGUGCAUCCGAAACUGGGCAGCUAGAGUACUAAAGAGGGUCGCGGAAUUCCCGGUGUAGAGGUGAAAUUCGUAGAUAUCGGGAGGAACACCGGUGGCGAAGGCGGCUUCCUGGACCGAUUACUGACGCUGAGGCGCGAAAGCGUGGGGAGCAAACAGG